GCAUGUACAUGCACUGUACGUGUAGCACUGCUUUUAAAAUCAGCAAGUCCUCUUUCCAGUAAAGAUGCAAAUGCAGUGAUCCCAGUGAUCACUCUAGGUCUACUUUUCUGCCUUCCUUUCCAAACCAUUAAAUGGCAGAGGAAAAUAUGUUCUGGGAGCCAGAAGUGUAGCUGGAGAAGAGGGUUUCACAGGGGAACUGUCACUUCAGUUUUACAUAGCUGGACUCUCACCUCCAGAGCAAGCAACAUGGUGCGUCCACUUUGCUGUCCCUGGCAUGUGUUACACAGAGUCACAGAAUCAUAGAAUGCUGUUGUUUGUUAUCUUUGUUAUCCCCAGCGCAGUUUUGGCUCAUCUUCUGCGGCUGUAAUCUGUAAUUUUGACUAAUGACUGACCACUAGUAAGUAGCACGGUUCAGUUUAUAACCUUUGGGUCUUGGUUAGCAAUCUAUGAUCGUACAUAGAGGGCUCCCGCUAUUAUCCCACAUCUGUAUUCACCUACAUUGUGCUUUAUGCUGCAGUCAAAUGUAGUUCAUUCUGCGCAUGAUGAAUAGUUGCAAUCACUUGUCAUGUCCUACAAAACUUGUGUAUAAAAGGAGAUGUUACAGCAUAUACUGGUACUAAGCUAAAGACAAGCUAAAACAAAUUUGGCAGUAAUCACUAGUGCGUUGGCUGCUGUUACAAGCUAAAUCAGUUUCAGACUGUUGAAGACAAGCCUAGACAACAUCUGAUACAUCCUGAGGCCCACAGAGCUCAAUAACGGGCUGGUACCAGGUAUAAGCAGUGUUUAUUGGAAUACAGGGUUGCAAACCCCUUUCAUGUAAUUAUUUCUGAAGCAUAUGUGCCUGUAAAAGAGGAAAAUAGAAAGUGUUUUGUUAUUGUUCUUGCUUUCUGUGAUCUUGUCUUAUCUUGUGCUAUUAAGCCCACUUAAUAACAUGGUUUGUAAUAAAAAUCUUCAUGUCAAGAACUGACAUCUCUUAUUUCUUCUUGCUUUAGUUGAAAUCUAAGUGAACUGUUGUGGUGUCAGCAAUCUCAGUGUUUAUUUACGUUGCUGACUAACUGUUACAAAAAGCUAAUUGCUGUUGCAGCUAUUAGAAACUCAUUUUGGCAUUGUUCGGAUAAAUUAGCAAGUGGUUAUAGCUGUCUCUGUGAAUUUACAUUUGCAUUUGCAUUUAAUCCCACAGAUUUACAGGAUCUUGUGAGCAACAGUUUGAGAAUAAUACUUUAGGCUUUUUUUUUUCUUAAAUAGUGGAAGCUGAUUUUACUUCCCCUAUGUCAAGAUCAUCAGCUGUACAACUUUCACAACUGACAUCAGAGCAAUCUUCUAUUGAUCAUGUUUUCUCCUCUGACUCUCAGACACAGUGUGGCCUUCUGUUUAUGUAACUGCAACUAAUCUGCUGUGAAAGGGUUGUAGAAGACCAGGUGAAUAAAUGGGGAAUAACAGCUGUGUGGGAACUGGUUGCCUAGGAGUAGAAAAGAGAACACUAUUGCUUCUAUCUUGCUUCUAUCUAAUAUGGAUAAACUUGAUCGAUAACUUUAAAGUGCAUAUAUUAUAAUUGUUCUCAUCUAGUGUUUACGGGUAGUAAACAAGUAUUUUAUAUGUAGCAAGGUAUGUGUUUUUAGUCUGUCUUCAUAAAGCAGAGAGAUUACAGGGAAUAUAAAACAGAGUGGAUCCUUUCUUGUCCUCAUGUUUGCAUCCAUACAGAAACAAAGCAAGGAGAAUAUAAUAGCAACUUUGGCAUAGAUUUCAAGCCUGAAUUCAUGCUAUACUCAGUGUGAGCCAUUUGUUGUGGUAUAUGGAAAUAAUCAUUUGAGAAAACAGUGUUGUUAGGCCUUCAUUAAUACAUUUUCAUUUGGGGCUAACCGUAUAUGAAUCACUACAUCUAUAUAGUAGCUUUAAAGGCUUGCUAUGAACUGAAAGUAGCACAGUAUAUAAUCAGACACUUUGGGGAUUAUUUCUUUUACUUAAAAGUUUCAGAACAAGGAAGUAGACUCUAUUUUAAGAUGAUGAUAGAGGACACAGCAACAAACAAACAGGUUAUCACAAGGAUGUGGCUGGUUUUGUGCAUCUAAACCAGCCUGACUGUAUCUUCUCAGUCACAGAGUUGUAUUAAGACAGAGCAGCUAGACAGACUUGAUUGUGAAAGGAGUUCCAGCUAUCAAGGAAAUGCUCACAUGGGAAUGUUUGGCUUUUUUUCCUAUUCAGGUGGCUCAAAUAGCUCUACAGUGUGGAUUCACAUUGCACUGGUUCCUUCUGAGAAGGAGCAUUUUAACUUCUGGUCAAUAUUAUAGACAAGAGAAAGCAUUCCUGUUUUAUCUUCAUCCAGAAACAUUUAAUAACUAUUUUUAGACUGCUAUUCUAUUAACCCUAUAUUGCUAUGAAAGCUCAUGCUGGCAACAGUUUCCUACAGAGUAUUCACCUUCAUGUAGGAUGCUUUAUUUUAAGAUUUCUAGGAGGCAUUUUUCAAGUUGUCUCAUCAUAUAAGAAUUUAUGUACUAACAAGCAGAUAAUGUUUUUAUUUAGGAUAUCAUGAACCUAAUACAUUAGGGAAAAAUAAGUAGGGACUUCAAAAAAUGUGGCUUUUAAAGAAAAGGAUAAUACAUGCAAUCAUAGAAUGGCUUGGGUUGGAAGGGACCUUUAAGAUCAUCUAGUUCCAACCCCACUGCUAUAGGCAGGGGCAGCUCCCACCAGACCAGAUUGCUUAAAGCCCCAUCCAGUCUGCAUUUAAGGAUUUGAACAGUGUUUUUGAGAAAAUUUUGUAGUAACUUAUGCACCAUUUGAUAUCUAAUACUCUUAAAGUAUGGAUUUAAUGCAAAACAAGUAUGUAAAGAUGUAUACAUUCUUGGAAAACAGAAUCUCAGUUAAGUACUAAGGAGUAAGGGAAAGAUUACGUGUUUCACAGGGUCAUACAACUGAUUGCUGUGUGAUGCCUUCUUCAGAUGAGGGAGCUCCCUUCCCUCCAAAGCAGGAGCAAUAUUGUUGGACUUUGCAGUUUUGAAAAGUACUAGUAAUAGGAAAAGUGGAUCAUCUUUAGGAAACCCUGAGACACAAGGAUAUAAAACAGGAAUUUCAAAAAGUGGGUUUUAUAUGAAUAUUGUGAUUAAAAGAAUUAGUGUUACAAAAUUUUUGUUGUUUAGGAAAGCGGGCAGAGAUGUGUUUUAUUUUUUAUUUCUCUUUUAUUGUAUGCUUGCACUGCAAAAUACAGUUACAAAGACAUGCUCACCUGACUGAACGGGAGUUAUCUGAAAAAUUUAUGUAUGUAUAUACAUAAAGACUGUCAAAGAGAUUUCUAUGAAAUAAUUUUUGUGUGACCUGAAUGAAUCAAAGUAGUAUGUUGUCAGUCUCACCUGCUGUCAAAGUGAUGUAAGCUUAAAAACUUGACAGGGUGGUUUCUGUGGCAAAGCACAACCCAACAUGGUUGCUGUUUAGGGCAGAUUAAAUUAAAAAAUCAGUAUAUAACUACUUUCCAGAAGAAAGAGCAUGGACCACAAAAUAUGGAUGUAGAAUGUGGCACAGGGUGGACAGAGCACAAUGGGCACAGGAUGGUGGAGAGAGGAAGUUUUUAGGAGAAAAGUAAAUGAUGGUGGGCACUGUUGUAUAGCAGAACUGCCUCAGGUUGGGGAAGCCAGAGGGGGGUCUGGAAAGUGAAUGCAAUGAUAGUUGAAGAAGAACGUGGAGUUAGCUCUGAGAAGGAGCAUCCAGAGUAGUUUAAACAACAAUCAUGAAUUUGAAUUGAUUUUAUUUAUUAUCACAGUGAAAGAACUUUGCCUCAGCUUUUUUGUGUUCUAUGUAUGCUCUGUGUAUUUUCACACAGAAUUACUUUGACGCUGGGAUCACUAGGAGAGACAGUGAAUACAAAGAAUGAAACAGCAAAAAGUCAGAAUAUAGUCAAGGCUCAGCCAUUCAAAAUCCAAGAGGAAAUUUAGAAGCCAACACACUAAACAUUAUCAAUCUUAAGUCUGUACCCAAAGCAGAAGAAGAUGCCUCUGGGUUUCCCUAGUCAUAACAAGAGAGUAUUUGCGUUCCUUAUAGGCUCUGCUGUACCAAUGCCUUUGCUGAUCUUCAUUUGAGGUGACAAGCAUCAAUGUUACUUCAGGUCACUGUAGUUUAGAUUUUGUGGAUCUUUGAAAAUCUGAGUCUCAACUCAGGCAACAGUGUUUGACGUAUGUUCAUCCCUAAUGAAAUCAAAACUGAGUUGACCUGAUACGGGCUGACUCUAAAUGAAUCAGAAGCAUAUGAGUUUGGAGCAAGACCUAAUUAUUUUCAUAAAAAUAAUUCCCACUUGUAAUCUCACUUGUAGUGCUUGUGUGAAUUUUCAUGGCGAUGAAACGUAAUGAAACAGUAAGUAUUUUGAGGUGGACUUUUCUGAUAAUUAAUGAGUUAAUGUUGGUUCUAGUGAUAUAUAUAGUUCAUCAAAUUACUAAGAACAGCUUUUAAUACUAGCUGUAAAUUGCUUAAAAUGCUCCUUGGACUUCAAAGACCCUGGAUACAUUUUGGCAUCAAUCUGAAAGAAUCUGUUUAUGAACAUUAAGUAGAUCCAUUCUAUUUUAAAAACGCGACUGUCACUAAAUAGAUGAAUGACUGAUGUGCUUUCAUUCUCCAGCAAUUAAUUUAAAUAUCUAAUCCCUAAACACAGGCAGUAAAAGCAAGAAAGAAACCUUUAUUGUACCAUGGGAAAAGAAAAGGGAAUAAAUCCAUGCUUUCUGAAUGUAUAAUCAGAGCAACAACAAAAAGAAACCCAACAACCUUUUGAGGUGACAGAUAUUCUAAAACUUUCUGCAUUUUUUGCACUAUUGUAAUUAGCUGUUACACUGUGUCUCUUUGUAGAGAAUUUACUCUCUUUUUACAUGUAGGGGUUUGCAAUAAACUAGAAGACAUAACAUCCCAGAUGUCCUAUUUUGCCUAUUUUUUUAAUCAAGAGUGCAACAUUUUCAAGAGUUGCAUUACCAUUAUUCAGAUUGUACGAAUAAAGUUGUCUGCUUUUCUUUCUCACAAGAUAGUACCCCUGAAAAAUCAAACAAAUUUUCUCAAGUAGUGAAUUAAAAAAGAACUUAGCUAGUUUAGAAAACUAACUCCAAUUAUUAAUACUUCUUGACAGAAGAUUUGCCAUAGGAUGGGUUCAUAUUGGUUUAAGUUCAUCUGCAAUGAACUCAUUCAAACUGAAGAUGAAUUCACAACGUUAGCAGUAACUUUAGAAUGAACUACCAUGCUAAUGUACAAAGGUAAGAUAAGCCAGCCAAUUAACUGCAUUUCUAGUGAGAAGUGGUAGGAAAAUUUUCUUCAUAGCUAUUAUAUUUGUCCAGCUUUCAAUAUGUUAAUGCUUUCAUGUGGUGGUGAGUUUAAAUUUUAGACAAAGUUUACUCAAAUGUUUUUUUCUCACCCUUUCCUUGCUGUGUGUUAAGUUAUAUUUUAAUAUUUCAAAUAUUAUAUAUUCUCCAGAGAUUUAAAAUUAAAAUAUAAAUUAUUGGAGUCCUGAUGUUUUAGUGGCCUACAUAUGUAGCUAGGAUCCUCAAUUCCUGAAGGAUUGGGCUGAAGUUUGCCUUCUUUCUAAUAUUCUCUGUAAUAUUUGUAACAAUAUGAAAUAUACAUGCAUUUCUUUAUCGCAUGGGUUGUUUUUGUUAAUGACAAGGGAAUAACCAGUUACUAAAAUAAGUACCAUAAUGGAAAAAGUCAUAUACAGAUCUUGGUCAUUUAGUAGAGACAGAUAAGCAACAUAAAAUUUGAAUACGAAGGGACUCCGAAAAAUGAUUCAUUGGAGGCAUUUCCAGAUCCCUUGCUUAGGUUGGAGAAAAGGUCAGAAACCUUUCCCAAAUAAGUGCUCUAUGAAGAAAUAGCCACUGCUUCUAGCAAGGUUAUUUUCAGCCUAAUUAACCUAACUAAGCAAAGUGCUAAAGCAAAGUGGGAUCUACAGUGGUUGGAAGAAGAUAAAAGUUGAGGAGGAAGUGUUAAAAAAUAAAAACAACAACAAAAAACAACAGUGAGUCACUGUUCAGUGUGACUAGAGAUGUAUACUCAUCUGUAUCAUCUGUGCUAUGCAGGUCUAUGGUGGCAAAUGGGGGUACUCAUUCACUCCUCAGUAGCAGAAUUACCAUAUCAACAUAGAAACCUGCCCACAUGAUUAAUGCUUCCUUCACGCAUAUGUUGAUACUGCUCCAUCUCCUUACCUAGCAGCCACAGAAUACCUUCUGAUAUGAGGUGAUGAAAAUCUGUCAUCUGAAAAAAUGAAAUUAUAGUAAAUACAAGAUUCCAUUAAACUGAGUUGUAGCCUGCAUUAACUACAGUUAUAAUAUUCAACCCCUGCAAAUCUGAUUUUUCUCGUUCUGUGAGUAUUUUUGUAUGGAGUAAUGUUUGAUCUCCUGAAGUUAUCCAUUGUCAAUGAGAUAAGACUAGAGGAUCUGCGGAUGUCCCUUCCAGAUUCAACUGCUAUGUGUUACAAAAAUAUUGAUAUAUGCCAUAAUGAACAUGAAAAUUUGAGGUUUUCAAAAUUAUGACUUGGAGUAUAUCUAUAUAUAUGGAUAUGUAUGUAUUGGUAUAUACAUAUCCAAUAUAUGUAUAUAUUUAUAUUUAUUUACUUAGUUCUUCAUAUUUAUGAAAAAAAAGGUCAUGAAAAUGAUGUCACAAUGGUGUCCUUGAUGCUUUCAAGGAUUCUGAUAACUAGAACAAACUAGAUCCAGUUUCACAUUAUCAAAAUAACCUAUCUGAUUCAAAAUCUAAAUUCACAGAUAUACUGUUAAAAUACUUCAUAUUCAGGAGUAUAUUUCAUUGGUUUAUAUCUUCAUUGCUUUUUUGACAAAAUUAAAAAAGAUGUAUACCAUGAAAUGCUCUAUCUGUGGAAGUACAAGUAUUUAGUUGCUCUUUCAUUUUGAGAGGCAUCUCAUCAUUCUGGUUUCUCACAGAAGACAAAACAAUUAAAAUGAAUAAAAAUCAGAUAUUUGUAAGAUCUGUUCUCUCUCUAGUGAAAAGGACAAAGUUUUUUGUAGUUUGUUGGGAAGUUUUGUUUGUAAUAGGGUAGAGAAAAAUUAAAGUAACACAAGCAAAAGCAUUUGCAGUUACAAAGCAUGAUAGCUUUCUGGAGAACAAGCUAAUGAGGACAGUAUUAGAGUUUUCACUUUUUCUGAAGUGUGGCCAAUAUUCCAGUAAUUCUGUUGAUCCCCAUCAUAAUAGUGUUUAACCUCAUUGCCCUAUUUCCUGUGGUUAAACUUGAAUGCAAAAGAUGUUGAAGAAAAAAAAACGUGCCACUUCUGUGAUAUGUAAUUUUUUUUAACAGCUGCAGUGAAUGUUACUGUAAAAGUUCAAAGACAGGAUAAAACUGCAAUUCUGAAACUGAUGUGUCAAUCUACUUUACAUGUAUAUAUACUGUAUAGAUGUUUGGUUUCUGCAGUAUUAUUUUCACUUUCUUUUGUCUAUCAGUACUCUGAUCUUUACUGUGUUCAAGAAAAUAAGCUGCUUUCUGUUU